rnacentral:lncRNA from 1 species
CCGCACCUUGCUCCGAGGAGCCGCCAUAGCGAGAAAAGCGGAAACCGCUUUAGCUGGGGCAUGAUCGCUGGAGAACAAGCUAUGGGAUGCGACGUUCUCCCUCCAAUGUCAACCAAAAGUUGGACUUGACGCUUUGUUUAAUACGUUCCUUGCUGAUGAUAGUGAUGAUGCCUCUGCCACUCCUAACCACGAGGUGCCUCCCAAUGACGCUGUCGAGGCCGAGGUUCAGUCCCAACCCACUCAAGGUGAGGUGAUCGGGACAAGUGCUGGUCCGGGUCCCCAACCAGAGGUUGAAGUGGAGGAUGAAGAGGUGAUUGUUAUUCACAACCCGAAGAAGAGGAAACCGUCUUCUAGCCCCGAGAGAGUCCCCACAGUGAUGGAGAACUUCGAUGUCAAAAACUUCAUUGAUUCCCAGCUGCUCCCUGGCACGGAAGACUUCUUCCACGGUGGGAUCUCUCCUCUCAGGCCAGAUGGAUGUAUCACACCUUGCUCCGAAGAGCCGCCAUAGCGAGAAAAGCGGAAGCCGCUUUGGCU